rnacentral:tRNA from 1 species
UUCCUGGUGGCUCAGAUGGUAAAGAACCUGCCUGCAAUGCAGGCGACCCAGGUUCAAUCCUGUGUCGAGAAG